AAGUCGUAACAAGGUUUCCGUAGGUGAACCUGCGGAAGGAUCAUUAAAAUUAUUGUAUUACACUGUUUUUGAAGCAAACACAAUAACCAUUAAUAUUCAAUAACCUAAAAAAAAUCAAAACUUUCAACAACGGAUCUCUUGGUUCUC
rnacentral:misc_RNA from 2 species